UUUAUCAUAAUGUAAAUUACUAUUAAUUAUGUAUGAAGAUAAAAGUAUAUUUUAUUGCGUAAUUCAUUUCAUUGCACAAAUCCGGCACAUGGCUUGAAAAUUGGACACAAAAUUAAGCACAAGGUUAUAGCCGAUCAAAAACAUUUUACCGGAAGGUCACAAAAUAAUUUCUAAAGGACAAUGAUACAUAGUUUUUACUUCAAAAUACUAAUACAGUCCUUGUGAUAUUUAAAUUAAAAAGUAUAUUUUUGGUCCCAAUGAACCCCGGCACAAAGUGUGCAGUCCGAAAUUGAAAGUGUGCACUACGGAUUCAAAAAGUGUUUACUUACUAAAUACUAAUAAAUAGGACUACUAUGAAGUUGUUUUUCAGGAAGCCAGUUUAAACAAGAUAACUGAUAAGGACUUAAAUAUAUCUAUUAAAUUGUAAGUUAUAAA